GCCCAGACAAGCGCUCUCCCGUGAGUGUGCCGGGAUCGGCGGGGCUUGAACUUCUGGAAAGGGGUCUGCGGGCUCAGGAGCUGGGGUUGGCGGCCUGGGGCCGGCUGAAGACGAUUCCUCUCUGGCGCCUGUGAACCUCAGGGCGUCAUGGUACAUCCUGAAGUGAAGACUGCGUGUGGCCUCCAGGAUGGAAGCCUUCCCAGUCCUGCAGCCACCUGCAGACUCUCACAAGCACUGUGUUCCCAGAAGAAAAGCUUCUACCCCAGGCCCAGCGGAGCUGGGAGAAAGCAGGAAGCCCUGAAGGUUUUUCACCCUGGGGGUGAGCUUGCAUAAUUGAAGAUAUAUUUGAGGAAAAUUGUACAGAUAGUCCCAACUUAGCACUGUUUCACUUUAUGAUGGUAUGGAAGUGAUAGCAUUCAGUAGAAAUUGUACUUUGAGUGCCAAUACAAUCACUAUUUCUCACCUUCAGUGCAGUAUUCAAUAAACUACAUGAGAUAGUCAACACUUUCCUAUAAAAUACGCUUCGUGUAAGAUGAUUCUGCCCAAAUGUAAGGCUAAUGCAAGUACUCUGAGCACAUUUAAGGGAAGGCUGGGCUAAGCGAUGAUAUUCCAUAAGUUAGGCGCAUUUAAUGUAUUUUAAACAUAGGAUAUUCUCAACUUGCAAGAGUUUAUCAGAACAUGACAUCAUUAGUCACUCAAGGACCAUCUGUGCUACUAAUGACAUAGAUGCUGGUUGGAGGAAAGCAGGCAAUAGCCAGGGGACACAGCAGGGAAGAAGUGACGUUUUUAAAGACAGAGACCAGUUUUAAAUAUUGCUAAGAAAGACCUUGUAGAGAGAAGCUGGUGAUACUGGAGACAGCAUGCAACAAAGAGCCCCGAAGAACAAGGAGAGCAUAGAGUCUCCUCUUCUGGGAGCAGAAGGAGUGUCGACUUAAAUAUUAGGGAGGAAAGAUGAACCUCGCAGAGAACCUGCAAAACCCAGUCUCAGAAAUACCCACCUGCACCUAAAACCUUAGUCACUGAGAGUCUGAAAGAGCAAUGAUUAUGUGAAAUCUUGGUAGUGGGAACAUGUGGUUUCAUUAGAUUAUUCUUUGUAUCUAUAUUUCUACUAUCUUAAAAUAAACACUAUAAGUUUUAAAACUAUACAAAAGA